UACGUAGGGGGCAAGCGUUGUCCGGAAUCAUUGGGCGUAAAGAGCGCGUAGGCGGCCCUGUAAGUCCGCUGUGAAAGUCAAGGGCUCAACCCUUGGAUGCCGGUGGAUACUGCAGGGCUAGAGUCCGGAAGAGGCGAGUGGAAUUCCAGGUGUAGCGGUGAAAUUCGUAGAUAUUCGCAAGAACACCAGUGGCGAAGGCGGUCACUGGCCCGGUACUGACGCUGAGGUGCGAAAGCGUGGGGAGCAAACAGG
rnacentral:rRNA from 1 species